GACGAACGCUGGCGGCGUGCUUAACACAUGCAAGUCGAACGGAAAGGCCCUGCUUUUGUGGGGUGCUCGAGUGGCGAACGGGUGAGUAACACGUGAGUCACCUUCCCUUGACUUUGGGAUAACUUCAGGAAACUGGGGCUAAUACCUGAUAGGAGCUCCUGCUGCAUGGUGGGGGUUGGAAAGUUUCGGCGGUUGGGGAUGGACUCGCGGCUUAUCAGCUUGUUGGUGGGGUAGUGGCUUACCAAGGCUUUGACGGGUAGCCGGCCUGAGAGGGUGACCGGCCACAUUGGGACUGAGAUACGGCCCAGACUCCUACGGGAGGCAGCAGUGGGGAAUAUUGCACAAUGGGCGGAAGCCUGAUGCAGCAACGCCGCGUGCGGGAUGACGGCCUUCGGGUUGUAAACCGCUUUCGCCUGUGACGAAGCGUGAGUGACGGUAAUGGGUAAAGAAGCACCGGCUAACUACGUG
rnacentral:rRNA from 1 species